rnacentral:rRNA from 1 species
AUGCAGUCGAGCGAACAGAGAAGGAGCUUGCUCCUUCGACGUUAGCGGCGGACGGGUGAGUAACACGUGGGCAACCUACCUUAUAGUUUGGGAUAACUCCGGGAAACCGGGGCUAAUACCGAAUAAUCUGUUUCACCUCAUGGUGAAACACUGAAAGACGGUUUCGGCUGUCGCUAUAGGAUGGGCCCGCGGCGCAUUAGCUAGUUGGUGAGGUAACGGCUCACCAAGGCGACAAUGCGUAGCCGACCUGAGAGGGUGAUCGGCCACACUGGGACUGAGACACGGCCCAGACUCCUACGGGAGGCAGCAGUAGGGAAUCUUCCACAAUGGGCGAAAGCCUGAUGGAGCAACGCCGCGUGAGUGAAGAAGGAUUUCGGUUCGUAAAACUCUGUUGUAAGGGAAGAACAAGUACAGUAGUAACUGGCUGUACCUUGACGGUACCUUAUUAGAAAGCCGCGGCUAACUACGUGCCAGCAGCCGCGUUAAUAUGUAGGUGGCGCGCGUUGUGCGGAAUUAUUGCGCGUAAAGCGCGCGCAGGUGGUUUCUUAAGUCUGAUGUGAAAGCCCACGGCUCAACCGUGGAGGGUCAUUGGAAACUGGGAGACUUGAGUGCAGAAGAGGAUAGUGGAAUUCCAAGUGUAGCGGUGAAAUGCGUAGAGAUUUGGAGGAAAACCAGUGGCGAACGCGACUAUCUGGUGUGUAACUGACACUGAGGCGCGAAAGCGUGGGGAGCAAACAGGAUUAGAUAC